rnacentral:lncRNA from 1 species
ACUGGUCAGAUAUACUCACGGAGGGCUGCUGUCACCUGUCAUCACUGCUGGACAGAUGAUUUCAACACAGACAUUACAAGUGGUCCAGCCUCUUCAUAAGCCUGCACUAAAGACACUGAAGCUUGUGAUCACCCGUGUCAGGACAAGGAAUGGCAUCUCCCUAACAGGACUCAAGAGCCUUUGCCAUUAUCUGUGGUAUUAAGCAGGUUUCAAUUAGGAUUUUAGGUGGAUUUUUUUCUUUGUUCCGCAGAAGUUUUAAUCAAGGCAGAAAAACUCUGACGCCUCAUUCUCCUCACAACAGUCAGUCACCAAAGCGUUGCAUUUUUCUUCCUGAAGCUUCCCCUCCCUCGGGCACAUUUUUAGCAAAAAAGAUGAGAUCCCAAGCUCUCCAGAUGUUGCCUCUCAGAUGUGCCUCAGCACGCAUCUCAGAGCCAUCUGGCCGCAGCAACAGCUGGACUGCUUCCAAGUGGAAGUGCUCACAGAACAACCAUGCGUCAGGCACUGGCUAUACGGACUGAGAAGCUGAAAACUGAUCAGAGUCAAGCUGAGCCUAUUGACCGCUUUCCAUGUCCACAGAGAUAAACACGAACAAACCUAAGAUAAAACCCCACUGAGUGCACUUCCCUGGGACCAUUUCGAGAGCUUCCGACCUCUGGGAACACAUAUGUGAGCCAGCAGGAUGGCCACAUCACCCACAGGGCAGUGUAGAGGUGGAUGCCAAACGCAGAGAAACUGAGUCAUAAAUGCCUGUAACUCUUCCUGUGGGUGUGAGGAUCCUAUCUCUCAACCCAGCUUGAAUGGGAUUUGUUUCUGCAACUGGAAUAAUCUUAAAUUAUCCAUUCUGACACCAGAGACUCAGCACUUUCAGUUUCAGAGUUCAUCAUGAUGGUGGGAAACAUGGCAGCAUGCAGGAAGACAUGGUACUGGAAGAGCCAAGACUUCUACAUCUUGAUUUGAAAGCAGCCAGGAAGAGGGACUAUCUUGCAUAGGGAUCCAGGAGUGGACUCUUUUCCACACUGGGUAGGACCUGAGCAUAAAAGUCUCAAAGCUCACCUCUACAGUGACAUGCUUCCUCCAACAAGGUCACACCUACUUCAACAAGGUCAUACCUCCUCAUAGUGCUACUCCCUGGGCUAAGCAUAUUCAAACUAUCACAAAUAUGAAGUAGUUAGAUGUCAUUUACAAUGAAGGUUGAAACUUAUCAAAGGGAAUAUAAGUCAAUUUCCUCCUGGUGAGACACCAGAUUUUAUAAAUUUAUUUUUAGUUUUCAUUUGCUCUGUUACAACAACCUGACUUUAUUAGGAGGUAGAACCUGGUUGGUUGAAGUAGGACACUGAGGAUGUAUCUGGACCCAUGUCCCUGCCCCUCCUAUUUUCUGAUUACUGUCCGUCACAAGUGGGUGCCUUACCUUAUCACAUAGUCUUACAGCCCUGAAGUUUUGACUCACCACAGGCUCUUCCUCUAACUGAGCUGAAAACUCACACCAGUACCCUGGAGAUGGACUUGGGGUUACUGGAACCUCUGUCUGGUCCUCCUCCCAGUGCACAUUGAUGAACUCACCCAUUUUUUGAUUUUCACCAUUGCCUCUCUCUUUAAUCAGUGUACUGGGGAUGAGUGGCCAAGCAGAACCUGAGAUUUUUGCCCUAAAAUUCUUGUUACAAAAGUUCUAAAACUGUGAGAUAAAUCUUUCUUUCAAGCUGUUC